rnacentral:antisense_RNA from 1 species
GGAAACCGAGAUGCACAGAAGUUACAAACAUUGGAUCAGGCCACACAGCUGGAAGCCCAGAUGAGCAGGAAGACACGCCCUCGGGGCUGGAGAUGUGCACACCUGGGGAAGGAGGUGCACAGCCAGCACCUCCCCAUCGCCCACUUCCCAGCCUGCCUCCUCAGUUCCUCCUCAAAGUCAGCUUUGCUGCAGCCCACCUCCCACCCAGGACCGGCCCCAAGGCCCUUCUAGAUAACCUCGAAAGGAUCUCCGGCACUGAAGUCGAAGGAGAGGAUGAGCUUGCUACCUGGAGCCUUCAUCUGUUACUGGAAAGGGGUCCUGAUCCAGACCCCAAGAAAGGGUUCUUGGAUCUCACACAAGAAAGAAUUCAGGAAUGACUAGUGCUCUUCUAAGAAGAGGGGAUUAGAACAUAGACACACAUGGAGCAAAGACCAUACGAGGAUGCAGCAAGAAGGUGGCUGUCUGCAAAUCGCAGAGAGAGGCCUCAGAAAGAACCCAUCCCACAGACACCUUGAUUUUGGACUUCCAGCCUUGAGAAUUGUGAGAAAAUAAAUGUCUGUUGUUUAAGUCA